AGUGAACGCUGGCGGUAGGCCUAACACAUGCAAGUCGAACGGCAGCACAGGAGAGCUUGCUCUCUGGGUGGCGAGUGGCGGACGGGUGAGGAAUACAUCGGAAUCUACCUUUUCGUGGGGGAUAACGUAGGGAAACUUACGCUAAUACCGCAUAAGACCUUCGGGUGAAAGCCGGGGACCUUCGGGCCUGGCGCGGAUAGAUGAGCCGAUGUCGGAUUAGCUUGUUGGCGGGGUAAAAGCCCACCAAGGCGACGAUCCGUAGCUGGUCUGAGAGGAUGAUCAGCCACACUGGGACUGAGACACGGUCCGGACUCCUACGGGAGGCGACAGUGGGGAAUAUUGGACAAUGGGCGCAAGCCUGAUCCAGCCAUACCGCGUGGGUGAAGAAGGCCUUCGGGUUGUAAAGCCCUUUUGUUGGGAAAGAAAUCCUGUCGGUUAAUAACCGGUAGGGAUGACGGUACCCAAAGAAUAAGCACCGGCUAACUUCGUGCCAGCAGCCGCGGUAAUACGAAGGGUGCAAGCGUUACUCGGAAUUACUGGGCGUAAAGCGUGCGUAGGUGGUUGUUUAAGUCUGUCGUGAAAGCCCUGGGCUCAACCUGG
rnacentral:rRNA from 1 species